rnacentral:rRNA from 1 species
GUGCCCUUUGCUACGGAAUAGCCUCGGGAAACUGAGAGUAAUACCGUAUGUGCCCUUCGGGGGAAAGAUUUUAUCGGCAAAGGAUCGGCCCGCGUUGGAUUAGGUAGUUGUAGGGUAAUGGCCUACCAAGCCGACGAUCCAUAGCUGGUUUUGAGAGGAUGAUCAGCCACACUGGGACUGAGACACGGCCCAGACUCCUACGGGAGGCAGCAGUGGGGAAUUUUCCGCAAUGGGCGAAAGCCUGACGGAGCAAUACCGCGUGAGGGAAGAAUGCCUAUGGGUUAUAAACCUCUUUUUUCAGGGAGGAAUAAAUGACGUGUACCUGAAGAAUAAGCAUCGGCUAACUCCGUG